UGACCAAAAAACCUAAAUCCUAAUUUCUACAUUGACGCAGCUCUUCUCAUCUCCAUCUCUGACCUUCGAGCUCUCUCAUCUCCAUCUCCGAUGCAGACCUCGAGAUCUCUCAUCUCCGGCUCGAGCUCUCCGACUCAGGCUCGAGCUCUCUCUUUUCCGACGCAGACCACGAACUCUCUCUUCUCCGACGCAGACCACGAUCUCUCUCUCUUCUCCGACGCAGACCACGAGCUCUCUCAUCUCAGACGCAGACCUCGAGCUAUCUCAUCUCUGACGCUUAUCACGGGCUCUCUCAUCUCUGAAGCUUAUCACGAGCUCUCUCAUCUCUGACGGUUAUCACGAGCUCUCUUAUCUCCUCCGAUUUGGGUUUCAAGCAUUGUUGAGGAUCUCUCAGGCUUCUCCAUAACAUCUGGAAGCUUUGUGAAAGAUAUAACUCUUUACCUUGUAGCUUGUUGUUGAAAGAGUUUGUGUGAAUCUUUGAAGUACUCUCUGUUUCCAUAUAGAGAAGGUGUUGGAGUUCGUUGCAAAGAAAGAAAGUCUGCAACUGCCCCAUGGUUUUACAGCAUUACAAGUACUCUUAGUUAUAUGACGAAUUGUUUUAUCCUGGUGAUAAAGAUACAGAAGCUCACAAACUCUUUAGGAACUAUGUUUCCAUCAUUACUUGGAGUUUUAAGAGCCAAUUGAUUUCCUUCUACAGAAGCAGUAGCAGAAGACGGGUUAAUGGUGAGCUUGAAGAUGAACCUCUUCACAUGAACAUUAUCAUUACUGAAAAAGAUGACUGCUACUCUUUCAACAAGACCAUGUUACAAAUAUUGUUCAUACGUCAUUCUAUAAUGAUUAUAGAAACAAAGGCUGAUCUUUGAUGUGGGUUUUCAAUAAAAGUUGUUUUAAAAUAUUACACCAAGAUGAGAUAUUUCUGUUAUUAAAUUAAAAUUUGAAAAUACAAUUUAUAAUUA